rnacentral:rRNA from 1 species
CUACGGGUUGCUGCAGUGAGGAAUAUUGGACAAUGGAUGGAAAUCUGAUCCAGCCAUGCCGCGUGCAGGAAGACGGCCCUAUGGGUUGUAAACUGCUUUUAUAUGGGAGCAAUAAGGUGUACGUGUACACCGAUGAGCUAACCAUAAGAAUAAGCAUCGGCUAACUCCGUGCCAGCAGCCGCGGUAAUACGGAGGAUGCAAGCGUUAUUCGGAUUUAUUGGGUUUAAAGGGUGCGUAGGCGGUAAUGCAAGUCAGUGGUGAAAAUCCGAGGCCUAACCUCGGACCUGCCAUAGAAACUGCAUAACUGGAAUACGGUUGAUGUCGGAGGAAUGUGUAGUGUAGCGGUGAAAUGCAUAGAUAUUACACAGAACACCAAUAGCGGAAGCAUCUGACAAAGCCGAGAUUGACGCUGAGGCACGAAAGUGUGGGUAUCGAACAGGAUUAGAUACCCCUGUAGUC